UGUGAGGGACCAUCUUUGUCUCUUGACCUUGACCUUAGCCAAAUGAGUUCAUUGAUGAUGCAUUGCUUGAUUCACGUUCUAGAACUAAUGAAUGUUAAAGGGAUUGGUAGAUUUGAAAGCAUGUGUAGGUCGAGUAUAAGAGACAGAUUGAUUGAUAACAAGACAUGGCUAACGUUUUUGAGUAAAAUUCGAUCA
rnacentral:sRNA from 1 species